rnacentral:rRNA from 1 species
UACGGAGGUUGCAAGCGUUAUCCGGAUUUAUUGGGUUUAAAGGGUGCGUAGGCGGGAAAAUAAGUCAGUGGUGAAAGCCUGCAGCUUAACUGUAGAAAUGCCAUUGAUACUGUUUUUCUUGAGUGUAGUUGAGGUGGGCGGAAUGUGUAAUGUAGCGGUGAAAUGCUUAGAUAUUACACAGAACACCGAUUGCGUAGGCAGCUCACUAAACUAAAACUGACGCUGAGGCACGAAAGCGUGGGUAGCAAACAGG